CCUCAGCGCAACAAGGGGAGUGAUGCGCGGCUGUUGCUGAAGCUCCUGGCUGUAACUACGUCGCAUUAAAACAACACCAGGCAGUUUAUUGUACGUCUACUGGCAUGUUGCCACUUCACUCUUUGGCCGGUUAAUAGGGUGUUUUCCGUAACGUUCGUUAUACUUAUAUUAGUGAGCUAUCGGCAGCUAGGCACAAAGGCGUUUAGAGAGCUACUAGCCGAUGUUAGCUAACUGUAACUAGCAUGCUAACAACACAGCCGCCGAGAACGAGCACAUCCUUGCGCAGCCACACUCGGGUUAAUCUCUGUUGACUCGCUCCGUUGGUUAUGUUAGCUGUUUCAUGGUAGUCAUUUAUUUGAAACCUAAGUCAAGUGUUUUUUUUUUAUCAGCUACCACUCAUGACUAGGAUACUUGAAGCAACACUUAAGUAUAACUGGUUCGUUUGCUUGUUUUUCAGCUAGCCAAGGCACUGCUUUGGUCUCAUUCAGGGAUGUGGUGGUAGCAAAACAAGCUAACGUUACUCCCCUCUGUGAAGAAGUGACUGCAAGAAGUGAGGAAAAACUGAAGGCAAGCGGGAGUUUUUAUUUGUGUUUAUCUUUCAUUCCGGUGUGGAUGACACGAGGACAAACCUGACAAACAUAGUUGAACUGAAACUGGGAAUAUCACUAACAGGUCGAAGGGAUUAUUUUGGUGUCUCUAAGUGGAUUUCGGCCUCUUGUUGGGGAUCGUCGUGGGAACACCGUGAGUGUUUUGACAUUGAGUGAGUCUACACGCAAAAAAUAUCCCGCCGACCUUCAUCCUCCGAUGCGGAGAUUUCAUUAGCACCGGCAACCAAAUCCCCCCGGCGGCCGGACAUGCUGAAGUGUAUCCCCCUGUGGCGUUGCAACCGCCACGUCGAGUCGGUGGACAAGCGGCAUUGCAACUUGCAGACAGUCCCCGAUGAGGUAUUCCGCUACAGUCGCAGCCUGGAGGAGCUUCUCCUCGAUGCCAACCAACUCAAAGAGCUACCAAAGCCUUUCUUCAGACUGCUGAG